rnacentral:lncRNA from 1 species
CACCUUGUUGAAAUUUACUAAGGCUUCCCAGUAAAUCCUUUUAGAAAUCAUUAGGUACUUCUUGUAACCGGUUCUCAAUUCUAAUUUCCAAUGCUUCCAUUUGUGCUUUCACUGAGUUAUCGGUGGCCAUUGCGUAAGACUGCAAAUCUGUAAUCUCAACUCCUGUUUUUGGUGUCGGACAAGGGCAUCAACACUGUAGAUGCGAAGUUACCGAGGAGGUGGACGCCAAGGGCAGUGCUGCGGUCGCUGUGUUGGAGGAAGAGUAGCUGCCCUAUUUCUAUCGAGGCGUGGGGUGAGAGCGCCGAGGUUGGAAGGCGACUGCGUUGAUGUGGCUGCAGCUGGGGGCAGCGUCACCAAGGGCCUAUCGCUGCGGUGGUUGCGACGGUGCGGAUGGAAGGCAGCGUUGCUCUGUCUCUACCGCACUACGAAGGAGUUGGUGACGUCGAUGGAUCGCGUGCGGUUGAGGACACAACGGUGUCGUUGAAGCGACCGAAACAGAGCUU